rnacentral:rRNA from 1 species
AACGAACGCUGGCGGCGUGCCUAACACAUGCAAGUCGAGCGAGAAAAGGGGAGCAAUCCCCUGAGUACAGCGGCGCACGGGUGAGUAACACGUAGGUGAUCUCCCCUCGAGCCCGGAAUAACCUACCGAAAGGUGGGCUAAUACCGGAUAUGACCACGGGAGUUUUGGUCUCCUGCGGUGAAAGAUGGCCUCUACCUGUAAGCUAUCACUCAAGGAUGAGCCUGCGUGCCAUUAGCUAGUUGGUGAGGUAACGGCUCACCAAGGCUAUGAUGGCUAGCUGGUCUGAGAGGAUGGCCAGCCACACUGGGACUGAACACGGCCCAGACUCCUACGGGAGGCAGCAGUGGGGAUAUUGCGCAAUGGGCGAAAGCCUGACGCAGCGACGCCGCGU